CAACGCUGGCGGCGUGCCUAACACAUGCAAGUCGAGCGCGAAAGGGGGGGCAACUCCCCGAGUAGAGCGGCGAACGGGUGAGUAACGCGUGGGUAAUCUACCUCCGAGUGGGGAAUAACAGCGGGAAACUGCUGCUAAUACCGCAUGACAUCGUCGAGCCUUCGGGCCUGACGAUCAAAGCCGGGGACCGCAAGGCCUGGCGCUUGGAGAGGAGCCCGCGUCCGAUUAGCUAGUUGGCGGGGUAAUGGCCCACCAAGGCUCCGAUCGGUAGCCGGCCUGAGAGGGCGGACGGCCACACUGGGACUGAGACACGGCCCAGACUCCUACGGGAGGCAGCAGUGGGGAAUUUUUCGCAAUGGGGGAAACCCUGACGAAGCAACGCCGCGUGGAGGACGAAGGCCUUCGGGUUGUAAACCGCUUUCAGGAGGGACGAAGCCACUCGGGUUAAUAGCCCAGAGGGUGACGGUACCUCCAGAAGAAGCCCCGGCUAACUACGUGCCAGCAGCCGCGGUAAUACGUAGGGGGCAAGCGUUGUCCGGAUUUAUUGGGCGUAAAGAGCGUGUAGGCGGCCAGACAGGUCCGUUGUGAAAACUCGAGGCUCAACCUCGAGACGUCGACGGAAACCGUCUGGCUAGAGUCCGGAAGAGGAGUGUGGAAUUCCUGGUGUAGCGGUGAAAUGCGCAGAUAUCAGGAAGAACACCUAUGGCGAAGGCAGCACUCUGGGACGGUACUGACGCUGAGACGCGAAAGCGUGGGGAG
rnacentral:rRNA from 1 species